GUUUGAUUAAACUAGUGGCCCUAUAAAGUUUGUUCUUACAUAUGAAAUAAUGGCUCAAGUUAUAUUUUAAUGGAUCAUUUGAUCACAUGAAUAUUGAUGCUACCAGGUUUUGAAGAAAUACAUGGAUGUAUAUCAGCUCCAGUGGUAUGGUUAUUGUCUGUUUAGGGCCCUUGCAUGUUUACAUAAGCAGGUAAGAAACUCCUACAAUUGUACAUUUAGGGAAGUCUCAAAAAAUGCCUAGCUGUAAAGGUCUUUAUUUUGUAAUUGCAUUGAGUGGUUCACAGAGAUGUUAAGCCUGGGAACUUCAUCUUCUCGUGGAAGCUAAAUAAAGGCUAUCUCAUUGAUUUCAAUCUUGCCAUGGUUGAGUUGCUUAUCUUGAGAGUGCUGCCAUACUAAUGUGAAUUUUUAAAGCAAUCAUUUCACUGAAUUAAAAGUUAAAACAUCAAAAUAAUCUGAUGGUGUCUC